AGCUUUGCUCAGUGGCAGUAUCGUAGCCAAUGAGGUUUAUCCGAGGCACGAUUAUUGCUAAUUAAAAUAACAAUAAAAAAAUAAAACAUCAGGGGCGCCUGGGUGGCUCAGUCGUUAAGCGUCUGCCUUCGGCUCAGGUCA